rnacentral:rRNA from 1 species
GAUGAACGCUGGCGGCGUGCCUAAUACAUGCAAGUCGAGCGAACAGACGAGGAGCUUGCUCCUCUGACGUUAGCGGCGGACGGGUGAGUAACACGUGGAUAACCUACCUAUAAGACUGGGAUAACUUCGGGAAACCGGAUCUAAUACCGGAUAAUAUAUUGAACCGCAUGGUUCAAUAGUGAAAGACGGUUUUGCUGUCACUUAUAGAUGGAUCCGCGCCGCAUUAGCUAGUUGGUAAGGUAACGGCUUACCAAGGCAACGAUGCGUAGCCGACCUGAGAGGGUGAUCGGACACACUGGAACUGAGACACGGUCCAGACUCCUACGGGAGGCAGCAGUAGGGAAUCUUCCGCAAUGGGCGAAAGCCUGACGGAGCAACGCCGCGUGAGUGAUGAAGGUCUUCGGAUCGUAAAACUCUGUUAUUAGGGAAGAACAAAUGUGUAAGUAACUAUGCACGUCUUGACGGUACCUAAUCAGAAAGCCACGGCUAACUACGUG